rnacentral:tRNA from 1 species
GCCCUAGUAGCUUAAGUUUAAAGCACUGGUCUUGUAAACCAGAAAUGAAAUGCACUCUCCUAGGACA